UGGGGAAUAUUGCACAAUGGGCGCAAGCCUGAUGCAGCCAUGCCGCGUGUAUGAAGAAGGCCUUCGGGUUGUAAAGUACUUUCAGCGGGGAGGAAGGCGAUAAGGUUAAUAACCUUGUCGAUUGACGUUACCCGCAGAAGAAGCACCGGCUAACUCCGUGCCAGCAGCCGCGGUAAUACGGAGGGUGCAAGCGUUCAUCGGAAUUACUGGGCGUAAAGCGCACGCAGGCGGUCUGUCAAGUCGGAUGUGAAAUCCCCGGGCUCAACCUGGGAACUGCAUUCGAAACUGGCAGGCUAGAGUCUUGUAGAGGGGGGUAGAAUUCCAGGUGUAGCGGUGAAAUGCGUAGAGAUCUGGAGGAAUACCGGUGGCGAAGGCGGCCCCCUGGACAAAGACUGACGCUCAGGUGCGAAAGCGUGGGGAGCAAACA
rnacentral:rRNA from 1 species